rnacentral:rRNA from 1 species
UGCAAGUCGAGCGGACAGAUGGGAAGCUUGCUCCCUGAUGUUAGCGGCGGACGGGUGAGUAACACGUGGGUAACCUGCCUGUAAGAACUGGGAUAACUCCGGGAAACCGGGGCUAAUACCGGAUGGUUGUUUGAACCGCAUGGUUCAGACAUAAAAGGUGGCUUCGGCUACCACUUACAGAUGGACCCGCGGCGCAUUAGCUAGUUGGUGAGGUAACGGCUCACCAAGGCAACGAUGCGUAGCCGACCUGAGAGGGUGAUCGGCCACACUGGGACUGAGACACGGCCCAGACUCCUACGGGAGGCAGCAGUAGGGAAUCUUCCGCAAUGGACGAAAGUCUGACGGAGCAACGCCGCGUGAGUGAUGAAGGUUUUCGGAUCGUAAAGCUCUGUUGUUAGGGAAGAACAAGUGCCGUUCAAAUAGGGCGGCACCUUGACGGUACCUAACCAGAAAGCCACGGCUAACUACGUGCCAGCAGCCGCGGUAAUACGUAGGUGGCAAGCGUUGUCCGGAAUUAUUGGGCGUAAAGGGCUCGCAGGCGGUUUCUUAAGUCUGAUGUGAAAGCCCCCGGCUCAACCGGGGAGGGUCAUUGGAAACUGGGGAACUUGAGUGCAGAAGAGGAGAGUGGAAUUCCACGUGUAGCGGUGAAAUGCGUAGAGAUGUGGAGGAACACCAGUGGCGAAGGCGACUCUCUGGUCUGUAACUGACGCUGAGGAGCGAAAGCGUGGGGAGCGAACAGGAUUAGAUACCCUGGUAGUCCACGCCGUAAACGAUGAGUGCUAAGUGUUAGGGGGUUUCCGCCCCUUAGUGCUGCAGCUAACGCAUUAAGCACUCCGCCUGGGGAGUACGGUCGCAAGACUGAAACUCAAAGGAAUUGACGGGGGCCCGCACAAGCGGUGGAGCAUGUGGUUUAAUUCGAAGCAACGCGAAGAACCUUACCAGGUCUUGACAUCCUCUGACAAUCCUAGAAGAAUAGGACGUCCCCUUCGGGGGCAGAGUGACAGUGGGGUGCAUGGUUGUCGUCAGCUCGUGUCGUGAGAAUUGUUUGGGUUAAGUCCCGCAACGAGCGCAACCCUUGAUCUUAGUUGCCAGCAUUCAGUUGGGCACCUCUAAGGUGACUGCCGGUGACAACCGAGAAGAAGGGUGGGGGGAUGACCUUAAAUACAUCUCAUUGCCCCUUUAUGACCUGGGCUUCACACACGUGUCUACAAUUGGGACAGAACAAAGGGCAGCGAAACCGCGGAGGUGAAGCCAAUCCUCACAAACUCUG